GUUCACGAUGAAAUAGUUGGUGACCGUCUGCAAGUGGCGGUUGCAGGCCACGGAGAGGAUGACGAGAAGGUUGCCCGCCACAGCGCUCUCCUGCACCCCGGCUUUUGCCCCAGCGCUCCUCGCUGCCUCCCUUCCUCUCUCUGGACUUGCGGUCACUCUCUGCUUGCCCUUGCCCUAGCGGAGCAUACAAGGGCAACUGGCCAGCCCAAGAUCUCAAAACCCACUAUGGUGCGAUGGUGGCAUUGAGACAGCCCUGAAGGGGUCAAGAUGCUUGGGCGCGGGUUGAAGAUGGGCGUGACUGGCGUGAGACCAGAUGGUGUGGUCACAGCCCUAGGACUUUGCCCGUACUCUGAAUAAUACCAACUUUGGCCCUGCAACUCUACUCUGCAUCAGAAGUCAGAAUAAAUCUUCCUGUUGCUACUCGAAGUACUCGGGACUCCCUCUGGGCAGAAAAGGUCACGUUCUGGAGGGUGGGAAAGGUUACUGCAGGGUGCUUAACAGGGAGGGAGCAGAGUAGCUUGCCUCCACCAUUCAGGCUCCGGCGUCUUGUGCCUCGGUUCCCCACAUGUGAAAACGAGAGUAAGAUUCACUGUGUUAGCAGCGCCACCAAAGUAGUGCCCAUACUUCUCAGAAGAGUGGAGAAUAGUGGGGUAAAGCCUGAACACGAAGAACAGAGGGGAGAGGGGACGGGGCUGUGCUAGGAAGCAGGGACGCAAGGGAAAGAGAAGGGAGGGAGGAGGACCAAUAGGGAGAGACACAAUGCCACUGGACCACCCCAGGCAACUGUACUUACAUGGUGCACAUAAACUGGCCUCCUCAGGCAACUGUACUUACAUGGUGCACAUAAACUCAUGUAGGCACACACAUGAUGUGCGCGAGCACACACACACACAAGUGCAGGCACAAAUACAUCUUCAAAACACUACCUUUCAUUCUUCAUCAUUUCUUCCUUUCCUUGACUUGGCUUAUGGAAGCGAGGCCAUAGAGAUGCGGGAGGAUGCUCUGAAAAUGUCAUGUGCAUGUCCUUGGUGCCUGGUUUAUUCCUUGUUGCAGAUGGUGGGAUGGUAGAAGCAAUGAAAGCCUCAGUUGUGUUGUGACAUGAGCUUUCUUCUUCUCCCAUCCUGCAGACCAUUCACUGAACUCGAUCCACAAGAGCUGAGCCCUUGGCAGGCAAAGUAUGACUUAUACACACACUGCCUUCCUAAGGCAGAUAUUCUGAUAGGAGCUUGUACCUGGGGAGUGAAUACUGGAAUUGUCUUACUGUAGGGUCUUCAGCAAUUCUUACUGUAGGGUCUUCAGCAACUCUCUGGGACCAUUGCCUUCUUUACAGCUGAGGGCAAAUGGAAUUGGAAUAGAACAGAAUAAAGCAGUGGGAUUCUGGCUUCAAAGCAAGACUUCAAACCAGCAUCUUAGAGAAGUGUUGGCUGGAUUGGGGCAAUCUAAGUCUGACCCUCUGGGCCCUCCUUGCAAGUCUCCCCACUGGUUCUCAAAGCACUGUGAGCUCCUGGAGGCUCAUGGGCAUAGCGCUGGCUCCCUGAUCCUGGAGAACCUGCUUUGUGGUUCAGCAGAAGGGACUUCCUUUGAGAUGGAAGACGAAGUUCAUGUUAUGUCAGAAACAGACAUGUUUGUCUUUCUAUAUGUCAGGGCUUGUGGAAUAAUCAGUAAAAUCACAAGCUAUGUUAGCUUACUUGACUGAAA